UACGUAGGUGGCAAGCGUUGUUCGGAAUAACUGGGCGUAAAGGAUGCGUAGGCGGUUAAACAAGUUAUAUGUUAAAUAUAUAGGCUUAACCUGUAGAAAGCAUAUAAAACUGUUUAACUAGAGUGCAGGAGAGGUAAGUGGAAUUCCUAGUGUAGCGGUGAAAUGCGUAGAGAUUAGGAAGAACACCAGUGGCGAAGGCGACUUACUGGACUGUAACUGACGCUGAGGCAUGAGAGCAUGGGGAGCAAACGGG
rnacentral:rRNA from 1 species